rnacentral:rRNA from 1 species
CCAGACUCCUACGGGAGGCAGCAGUGAGGAAUAUUGGUCAAUGGGCGGAAGCCUGAACCAGCCAAGUCGCGUGAGGGAAGAAGGCCCUGCGGGUCGCAGACCUCUUUGGACGGGGAGCAAGGCCGCCGACGUGUCGGCGGAAGGAGAGUACCCGUAGAACAAGCAUCGGCUAACUCCGUGCUAGCAGCCGCGGUAAUACGGAGGAUGCGAGCGUUAUCCGGAUUUAUUGGGUUUAAAGGGUGCGCAGGCGGCACGGCAAGCCGGCGGUGAAAUCGCGGGGCUCAACCCCGCCCAGCCGUCGGAACUGCCGGGCUGGAGUGCCGGAGGGGUAAGCGGAAUUCCUGGUGUAGCGGUGAAAUGCGCAGAUAUCAGGAAGAACACCGGUGGCGUAGGCGGCUUACUGGACGGCAACUGACGCUGAGGCUCGAAAGCGUGGGGAGCAAACAGGAUUAGAUACCCUCGUAU